UCUUCCUCCAAAAAGAAAAAAUCCCUACAACUUCUACACCUUUCCACUAGAACUAGAAUAGUCAGCUUAUUUGUUUUUCCUCUUCAUCACACAACACAAAUCAAAGCUGAAAGAACGAAAAUUAUCCGAAAGUAGAGGAGAAAGUUGGAAAAGGGGGCUAUUGUUGCUUCCUCUCAGUAAUGUCUGUAAUUCCUUCUUCAUUAUGUGAAAAAUAAACAAAAAUUUGAUAUAUCCUUUCGCAUUUAAAAAUUUUAAGAGCGAUCCAUUAAUCUUUGAUUAUUCUAUAGAACUUUCAAUCCUAAAGUGCGGAACAUCAGUAAUAGUACUACUAAUAAUAAUUGUUGCGAAAAUUUCAAUGCUAUUAUGACGACUUUCUUCUUUCUCUCACCAAAUUGAUAGUGGAGGAAAAAUUUGACAAGUAUCUUGGUUGGUUAACUUGGAGGAAAAGUGACCCUGCAAUUGGUGCUUGUAGCCAUUGAGGUGAUUCCAGUCACUCUUGCCGAGUUGUAAGUAUUACAGAUCUGAGCCUCAAUGUUUCAUUUGCUAUUAUAAAUUUCUUUGAACAUUACACUUGUUGAAUUCAUAUGUUAAUAAGCACAUGAGAAUCUUUCCAUUAAAGGAAAAAGACUUAUCCUAGAUUCAGAGCCAAAUAAUGAGGAUUGUAGAGAGUAACGGGGAAAACUUCAAAGACAUCUUCAUUCUGAAGAAGAACAUGGGAGAAUGCUUGCAAUACAAUUGUUAUGAUUUUGAACAUUUUGAGCCGUUAUACCAUUUAUACAAGACGAUAACUCUAUGAAUGACACAAGGAAAAAUCCUACAGCUAUACCGUUCAUAAAAGAGGCUAACUAUUUGAAUGACUGACACAAGGUAAAAAUGUUGCAGCUAUACUAUUGAUAUGACCUACAAAGUCUUGCAUCAAAUAUUGCAGAUAGAUAAAAUUUUCUUUUCCACAUGCACAAGCUUGAGAGGAGUUUUUUCUUUUCAGUUACUCUUUGUGCGCGUUAUAGUGAACUUUAUUUAUGCUGCUGAAAUCAUUAUUUCAUCAUAACUAAGAACGAGUUACAAAAGAAUAGUAAUUUAAUUCGGCUCUACUAAUUAUAGGAUUCACUUUUAUCCUAAAAAUAUGAUGUGGGUGAAUUACUCGCUCACACUUCCUCCUUCACAAUUUGGAGAUGAAUAUUUCCUCUAGGCAGGGUCUUUAUGUGUUUGCUUUUACUAUAAUGACUUUGACAGAAUGAUGGCAAAAUUAUAUUUAU